AUUUAUUCCUAUUGAACAGUACACUAUUCAAAAGUCAUCUAAUGUUCUUGAUCAGUGGAUCAACUCGGCCACUCAGAGUCUAGUUCGUUUUGUCUGCAAAGAAAUGGAUGCAUAUCGAAUGUAUACGUGUGAAUCGAAAUUACUUUUGAGUACCUGGUUAGAGCGUUAGAAAAUGGGCUCGCUAAUGUGGAUUCUGAGGGGGCUUGCAGCAAGACAACCACUUCCAAAAGCACAGGAGGCCCCGGCAAGGGGAAAGGUGGGAGAGGAAAGGGUGCUUCUUCCCGAUCUGGUGGGCCAACAAGAAACGUGGACGAUUCAGGCGGUUGGUCAUUUGAUCAUUGCACUUAUCGGAAUGUUAGGAGUGCAACCACUUGCCAGGUGUGUCAUCAGCAUUGACGAAAUACUCGGUUUACCUCGCACUGAUGGGUCUCACAUGGACAUAAUAAUACUUGUUGAAGCAAGAAUGAGAAAAGUGGAAUUUAAGAAGGCAUUCCUGGGCAUAAAAGGUUAGUUGAGGCUGUUUGAUG